GCUUGCUGGAGUACUCGAGUGGCGAACGGGUGAGUAACACGUGGGUAAUCUGCCCUGCACUCUGGGAUAAGCCUGGGAAACUGGGUCUAAUACUGGAUAUGACCUUUCUCCUUAUGGGGUUUGGUGGAAAGUUUUUCGGUGUAGGAUGAGCCCGCGGCCUAUCAGCUUGUUGGUGGGGUGAUGGCCUACCAAGGCGACGACGGGUAGCCGGCCUGAGAGGGUGAUCGGCCACAUUGGGACUGAGAUACGGCCCAGACUCCUACGGGAGGCAGCAGUGGGGAAUAUUGCACAAUGGGCGGAAGCCUGAUGCAGCGACGCCGCGUGAGGGAUGACGGCCUUCGGGUUGUAAACCUCUUUCAGCAGGGACGAAGCGUAAGUGACGGUACCUGCAGAAGAAGCACCGGCUAACU
rnacentral:rRNA from 1 species